GCGGACGUGGCGAAACUGGUAGACGCACUUGGUUUAGGACCAAGCGGGGUAACCCUUGAGAGUUCAAGUCUCUCCGUCCGCACCA
rnacentral:tRNA from 2 species